rnacentral:miRNA from 14 species
ACCUGCUGCCCACUGCUUAACA